GGGACACGUGGUAUCCUGUCUGAAUAUGGGGGGACCAUCCUCCAAGGCUAAAUACUCCUGACUGACCGAUAGUGAACCAGUACCGUGAGGGAAAGGCGAAAAGAACCCCGGCGAGGGGAGUGAAAAAGAACCUGAAACCGUGUACGUACAAGCAGUGGGAGCACGCUUAGGCGUGUGACUGCGUACCUUUUGUAUAAUGGGUCAGCGACUUAUAUUCUGUAGCAAGGUUAACCGAAUAGGGGAGCCGAAGGGAAACCGAGUCUUAACUGGGCGUUAAGUUGCAGGGUAUAGACCCGAAACCCGGUGAUCUAGCCAUGGGCAGGUUGAAGGUUGGGUAACACUAACUGGAGGACCGAACCGACUAAUGUUGAAAAAUUAGCGGAUGACUUGUGGCUGGGGGUGAAAGGCCAAUCAAACCGGGAGAUAGCUGGUUCUCCCCGAAAGCUAUUUAGGUAGCGCCUCGUGAAUUCAUCUCCGGGGGUAGAGCACUGUUUCGGCAAGGGGGUCAUCCCGACUUACCAACCCGAUGCAAACUGCGAAUACCGGAGAAUGUUAUCACGGGAGACACACGGCGGGUGCUAACGUCCGUCGUGAAGAGGGAAACAACCCAGACCGCCAGCUAAGGUCCCAAAGUCAUGGUUAAGUGGGAAACGAUGUGGGAAGGCCCAGACAGCCAGGAUGUUGGCUUAGAAGCAGCCAUCAUUUAAAGAAAGCGUAAUAGCUCACUGGUCGAGUCGGCCUGCGCGGAAGAUGUAACGGGGCUAAACCAUGCACCGAAGCUGCGGCAGCGACGCUUAUGCGUUGUUGGGUAGGGGAGCGUUCUGUAAGCCUGCGAAGGUGUGCUGUGAGGCAUGCUGGAGGUAUCAGAAGUGCGAAUGCUGACAUAAGUAACGAUAAAGCGGGUGAAAAGCCCGCUCGCCGGAAGACCAAGGGUUCCUGUCCAACGUUAAUCGGGGCAGGGUGAGUCGACCCCUAAGGCGAGGCCGAAAGGCGUAGUCGAUGGGAAACAGGUUAAUAUUCCUGUACUUGGUGUUACUGCGAAGGGGGGACGGAGAAGGCUAUGUUGGCCGGGCGACGGUUGUCCCGGUUUAAGCGUGUAGGCUGGUUUUCCAGGCAAAUCCGGAAAAUCAAGGCUGAGGCGUGAUGACGAGGCACUACGGUGCUGAAGCAACAAAUGCCCUGCUUCCAGGAAAAGCCUCUAAGCAUCAGGUAACAUCAAAUCGUACCCCAAACCGACACAGGUGGUCAGGUAGAGAAUACCAAGGCGCUUGAGAGAACUCGGGUGAAGGAACUAGGCAAAAUGGUGCCGUAACUUCGGGAGAAGGCACGCUGAUAUGUAGGUGAAGUCCCUCGCGGAUGGAGCUGAAAUCAGUCGAAGAUACCAGCUGGCUGCAACUGUUUAUUAAAAACACAGCACUGUGCAAACACGAAAGUGGACGUAUACGGUGUGACGCCUGCCCGGUGCCGGAAGGUUAAUUGAUGGGGUCAGCGCAAGCGAAGCUCUUGAUCGAAGCCCCGGUAAACGGCGGCCGUAACUAUAACGGUCCUAAGGUAGCGAAAUUCCUUGUCGGGUAAGUUCCGACCUGCACGAAUGGCGUAAUGAUGGCCAGGCUGUCUCCACCCGAGACUCAGUGAAAUUGAACUCGCUGUGAAGAUGCAGUGUACCCGCGGCAAGACGGAAAGACCCCGUGAACCUUUACUAUAGCUUGACACUGAACAUUGAGCCUUGAUGUGUAGGAUAGGUGGGAGGCUUUGAAGUGUGGACGCCAGUCUGCAUGGAGCCGACCUUGAAAUACCACCCUUUAAUGUUUGAUGUUCUAACGUUGACCCGUAAUCCGGGUUGCGGACAGUGUCUGGUGGGUAGUUUGACUGGGGCGGUCUCCUCCUAAAGAGUAACGGAGGAGCACGAAGGUUGGCUAAUCCUGGUCGGACAUCAGGAGGUUAGUGCAAUGGCAUAAGCCAGCUUGACUGCGAGCGUGACGGCGCGAGCAGGUGCGAAAGCAGGUCAUAGUGAUCCGGUGGUUCUGAAUGGAAGGGCCAUCGCUCAACGGAUAAAAGGUACUCCGGGGAUAACAGGCUGAUACCGCCCAAGAGUUCAUAUCGACGGCGGUGUUUGGCACCUCGAUGUCGGCUCAUCACAUCCUGGGGCUGAAGUAGGUCCCAAGGGUAUGGCUGUUCGCCAUUUAAAGUGGUACGCGAGCUGGGUUUAGAACGUCGUGAGACAGUUCGGUCCCUAUCUGCCGUGGGCGCUGGAGAACUGAGGGGGGCUGCUCCUAGUACGAGAGGACCGGAGUGGACGCAUCACUGGUGUUCGGGUUGUCAUGCCAAUGGCACUGCCCGGUAGCUAAAUGCGGAAGAGAUAAGUGCUGAAAGCAUCUAAGCACGAAACUUGC
rnacentral:rRNA from 1 species